rnacentral:rRNA from 1 species
GACGAACGCUGGCGGCGUGCUUAACACAUGCCAGUCGAACGGAGAGGCCCUGCUUGCAGGGUGCUCGAGUGGCGAACGGGUGAGUAACACGUGGGUGAUCUGCCCCUUACUUUGGGAUAAGCCUGGGAAACUGGGUCUAAUACUGGAUAGGACCAUGCUGUAGGUGGUGUGGUGGAAAGAUUAGUUUCGGUAAGGGAUGAGCUCGCGGCCUAUCAGCUUGUUGGUGGGGUAAUGGCCUACCAAGGCGUCGACGGGUAGCCGGCCUGAGAGGGUGGACGGCCACAUUGGGACUGAGAUACGGCCCAGACUCCUACGGGAGGCAGCAGUGGGGAAUAUUGCACAAUGGGCGCAAGCCUGAUGCAGCGACGCCGCGUGGGGGAUGACGGCCUUCGGGUUGUAAACUCCUUUCAGCCAUGACGAAGCCCUUGUGGUGACGGUAGUGGUAGAAGAAGCACCGGCUAACUACGUG